GAUUUGUGGCUCAGUUGGUUAGAGCGUGGUGCUGAUAACGCCAUGGUUGCAGGUUUGAUUCCCGUCAGGGGCA